GACGAACGCUGGCGGCGUGCUUAACACAUGCAAGUCGAACGGAAAGGCCCUGCUUUUGUGGGGUGCUCGAGUGGCGAACGGGUGAGUAACACGUGAGUAACCUGCCCUUGACUUUGGGAUAACUUCAGGAAACUGGGGCUAAUACCGGAUAGGAGCUCCUGCUGCAUGGUGGGGGUUGGAAAGUUUCGGCGGUUGGGGAUGGACUCGCGGCUUAUCAGCUUGUUGGUGGGGUAGUGGCUUACCAAGGCUUUGACGGGUAGCCGGCCUGAGAGGGUGACCGGCCACAUUGGGACUGAGAUACGGCCCAGACUCCUACGGGAGGCAGCAGUGGGGAAUAUUGCACAAUGGGCGGAAGCCUGAUGCAGCAACGCCGCGUGCGGGAUGACGGCCUUCGGGUUGUAAACCGCUUUCGCCUGUGACGAAGCGUGAGUGACGGUAAUGGGUAAAGAAGCACCGGCUAACUACGUGCCAGCAGCCGCGGUGAUACGUAGGGUGCGAGCGUUGUCCGGAUUUAUUGGGCGUAAAGGGCUCGUAGGUGGUUGAUCGCGUCGGAAGUGUAAUCUUGGGGCUUAACCCUGAGCGUGCUUUCGAUACGGGUUGACUUGAGGAAGGUAGGGGAGAAUGGAAUUCCUGGUGGAGCGGUGGAAUGCGCAGAUAUCAGGAGGAACACCAGUGGCGAAGGCGGUUCUCUGGGCCCUUCCUGACGCUGAGGAGCGAAAGCGUGGGGAGCGAACAGGCUUAGAUACCCUGGUAGUCCACGCUGUAAACGGUGGGUACUAGGUGUGGGGUCCAUUCCACGGGUUCCGUGCCGUAGCUAACGCUUUAAGUACCCCGCCUGGGGAGUACGGCCGCAAGGCUAAAACUCAAAGGAAUUGACGGGGCCCCGCACAAGCGGCGGAGCAUGCGGAUUAAUUCGAUGCAACGCGUAGAACCUUACCUGGGUUUGACAUGGAUCGGGAGUGCUCAGAGAUGGGUGUGCCUCUUUUGGGGUCGGUUCACAGGUGGUGCAUGGCUGUCGUCAGCUCGUGACGUGAGAUGUUGGGUUAAGUCCCGCAACGAGCGCAACCCUUGUUCACUGUUGCCAGCACGUUAUGGUGGGGACUCAGUGGAGACCGCCGGGGUCAACUCGGAGGAAGGUGGGGAUGACGUCAAGUCAUCAUGCCCCUUAUGUCCAGGGCUUCACGCAUGCUACAAUGGCUGGUACAGAGAGUGGCGAGCCUGUGAGGGUGAGCGAAUCUCGGAAAGCCGGUCUCAGUUCGGAUUGGGGUCUGCAACUCGACCUCAUGAAGUCGGAGUCGCUAGUAAUCGCAGAUCAGCAACGCUGCGGUGAAUACGUUCCCGGGGCU
rnacentral:rRNA from 1 species